rnacentral:rRNA from 1 species
ACAUGCCUACAACAUAGCGUUAAUGCACGGGAUCCCAUUAAAACUCCGCAGUUAAGCAUGCUCAGGCUAGAGUAGUACUGGGAUUGUUUUACAUUUCUAUGGCAUUUU